GCUCCCGUGAGGAACCGUCUGAAGGAAGCCGGAGUGCAAAACUAUGAGCCGACGAACAGAAAUGGCAUACAAGGCCCAGUCUCCGGGUAAGUCAGCACAACAUGACAAAGCCCUGGGUUUAGGAGAUAGGGUAAAUGCCGCGGUUGUGUAGUGACAGAUCACGUU
rfam:Desulfovibrio sp. S3730MH75 k99_4175357, whole genome shotgun sequence.